rnacentral:rRNA from 1 species
UACGUAGGGCGCAAGCGUUGUCCGGAAUUAUUGGGCGUAAAGAGCUCGUAGGCGGCUUGUCACGUCGGGUGUGAAAGCCCGGGGCUUAACCCCGGAUCUGCAUUCGAUACGGGCUAGCUAGAGUGUGGUAGGGGAGAUCGGAAUUCCUGGUGUAGCGGUGAAAUGCGCAGAUAUCAGGAGGAACACCGGUGGCGAAGGCGGAUCUCUGGGCCAGUACUGACGCUGAGGCGCGAAAGCGUGGGGAGCAAACAGG